GGGGAAUAUUGCACAAUGGGCGAAAGCCUGAUGCAGCAACGCCGCGUGAGGGAUGACGGCCUUCGGGUUGUAAACCUCUUUCAGUAGGGAAGAAGCGAAAGUGACGGUACCUACAGAAGAAGCACCGGCUAACUACGUGCCAGCAGCCGCGGUAAUACGUAGGGUGCGAGCGUUGUCCGGAAUUAUUGGGCGUAAAGAGCUUGUAGGCGGUUUGUCGCGUCUGCCGUGAAAAUCCGAGGCUCAACCUCGGACUUGCGGUGGGUACGGGCAGGCUAGAGUGUGGUAGGGGAGACUGGAAUUCCUGGUGUAGCGGUGAAAUGCGCAGAUAUCAGGAGGAACACCGAUGGCGAAGGCAGGUCUCUGGGCCACUACUGACGCUGAGAAGCGAAAGCGUGGGGAGCGAAC
rnacentral:rRNA from 1 species